GUUAAUGUAGCUUACAAUUAAAGCAAAGCACUGAAAAUGCUUAGACGGAUGACAUCAUCCCAUAAACA
rnacentral:tRNA from 1 species